CAGUAGCCGCGGUAAUACGAGGGGGGCAAGCGUUGUUCGGAAUUAUUGGGCGUAAAGGGUGCGUAGGCGGCUUGACAAGUCUUGUGUGAAAUCUAUGGGCUCAACCAAUAGUCUGCACGGGAAACUGUCGGGCUUGAGAAUGGGAGAGGUGAGUGGAAUUUCCGGUGUAGCGGUGAAAUGCGUAGAUAUCGGAAGGAACACCUGUGGCGAAAGCGGCUCACUGGACCAUUUCUGACGCUGAUGCACGAAAGCUAGGGGAGCAAACAGGAUUAGAUACCCCAGUAGUCCCUGUCUCUUAUAC
rnacentral:rRNA from 1 species